CCAUCUGAUACUGCACAACUAAUAGUCUCAGCUCUAUAAGGCAAAAAUUAGAAAGGUUCAGGAAUGAGGUUGGUAAAGACACAGCCUGUAUUUUGAGUGGCUAUUUACAGUGCACUCAUUUUGUCAUUAACAAAUACCAGAAUUGAAUCAAAAUUUAAAUAUCUUCCUACAUAGUGUUGUUAGCUAUUUGCCUUGAUAAUAAUCUACCGAACAUCUAUCCUAUAACAGAAAAACUUCAAACAAUUGGACCAGUAUUGGCAGAAUUUGUUUAUGCAAAACUCAUAAACUGUAUAACAUACCCUAUGUUUGAUGCCACGAUGAUCUGGGGUCCACAAGUCUAAGGAAUGAAAGGCUGGACUGGGACUUGGCCUACAUUGCUCAUGUGAAGAACUAAGGGGGAUGAAGGGGACUCCACUUGCAUUUCUGCUUGGACUACUUACAUAUCGGGCCCAUGUCAUGUAGGUAUUUCAUUACUCUGAAGGAUUUUUCUCCCCUUGAAGCUCAAGCAAAGAAAUGAAAGGGACAAAAUACCAAAAGAAGCAAUGAUCCCUGUAUUUCUGUACUCACCAGAAGGAGGAAACACUUGAAAUCUAUGGGCAAAGUUCUUGGAAAAAGCAAAACCAGUUGUUACCAGAAUGUUCAGGCACUACUUACUCCUCCAGUGAAGAAUGACCCCCUGCCAAAUGCUGAAUUUCUACCCUGAUGUUUCAGUGCUAGAGCUAUUCAAAAUAAGGGUGCACAGUUGUUAAUAAUAAAUGCCAUUUUCACUCACCAUCUACUGAAAAAUGGCUUCAUUGCUUUUGUUCAGAGUUUUUAAAAGAAUUCACCUUCAGGCAGAAACCAAACCUGGAGGAUGCCA